GGGCUUAUUUGGCAACAGCUGUUGCUUGCCAGUGUGCUCUCUCUCUCUCUCGUUCAUCUUGCAAGCAUUCUUGUCCUUUUUUCCCCUUUGGGCUCCUUUCUUCUUUCAUUUUAAUGACCUCUGUGAUUUAAGAGAAUUGGUCAUGAGAAGAAUUUGGUGGAGGACACAGAAACUUUCUUUCCAGUACCCAUAUGUGGCAGUGUGCUGGGAAACCUUCUGAAACCCUUCAGCCCUGUCAGAAGGUAGAGAUUUGUAAAGCACCAAGGAGCACUGUGCUUCUCUUCUUUGUCUUCCUCCACCCUGUGCGUGCAUGGGAUCACUGGUACGAAGAAGCCUGUGGAACUGGAGCAUAACACAGAAAUAUAGGACAAGCUGAGAAGAACCAACUGAAAGGAAAAAUCUUCAAGUUUGUGGCUAUCAGAGCAAAACGCAAAAGAAAAUUCACCUGUUUGCACCUUUUGGAAUAAAAAAUUUGAAGUAUACAUGUACAAGGAAGGACUUGGAGUAGACGUCUUGAGUAAAGCAUCAUCUUGGAAGGUGUAUCUGCAAGCAUAGAAAGAAGAGCCUUUUUAUAUUUCCCAGAUAGCCCUGGCCUCUAUAAGAAUCUGGGUAGGGAAUAGAAACCGUAUUGUGUAAUACCAGUGACCAGCCACACAGCAUAUUUGAAUCCUGAACAAAAAUGCUUGGAGAUGUUGUUACCAUUCAGCAACCCGCAGGCAAAAAAAUUAUUUUAUUGAACCUCUUCAACACAUGGUUAUCAGAAAAGACUGUAAGAAAUGUUAUCCUUUUGUGGACAGAAGUAUCAAGUACAACAAAUUACACUUACUGAAUACUUCAGUUACUAUCCUUGGCAGUGGAUUUGCUUUAACUCCAGGAGAGCAUUACAAAUGAAAUCUUUAGAAGAUACGUGAACCAAUUGUGCAAUACUGAACUUUUUGUUCCUCAGGCCAUAGUCCUGCUCCCAGUCUCAGAUACACUGUGCCUAUCAAGAGAUGCAUUCUGUUAAGAAAACAGAAAAUGUGAGCAGUUCCUCACUACAGAAGGCAGCAUAGCAGCUAAGAUAUUCAGGAUGAAACCACCAUGAGACAACUGCAGUUCCAGCAGGAUUUGGCUCAAGGAUUAUGUGGGAAGUCUUUCCUCUGCCAGACCAGUGAUGAAAAAGAGACAGAAGGUGAGGGGGACACAGGCUCCAAGUUGUGAAUCACCCCUCGUGCUGGCCAAAGAGCCUGCAGACAGAAAUAGGAGGGAAGUGACCACUGAGGCUGAGCUCUGCAACCUUACUUCUCCCAGUACCCACUUGGAAGAACUGUGCUUUGUUUCCUUAUCUGAAAUUUGCCUUUUUAUACAGCAUUUGCCAUUAUUAAUUGGAGCACCUCCCUCCUGCAUCUUAAUCAAACAGUGCUGGCGAAGAAGAAUCAUUACUAUGAGCAGUGUUGGACAUGUGCUGGCCAAUUCAAGCCAUGAAUUGCUUGCCUCAGGCCUGGCAGGAGGAAAAUACCACCAGGUAAAAGAUGGCAGCAAACACAUUAUAAUUGGUGCUACAGCAAAAAUCAAGAGGUGAAAAACAGCUGCGAAACAGUUCGAAGUCAAAACUGCACACAUCCAGAGGUGCCCCACAUCUUAGGGUGUGCUUUCCACCCCGUUUCCUGAUCCCUAGAGAAACAACUGCGGAAAGCGGGAGCCUUUGCAGCAAGCCUGACCCUGUGUCGCAAGAGACAGAGCCACCUGCGUGUGCGUGUGUCACUGUGCCCGUGUCCAAGGCAAACAGCUGCUUCCUGGAGUGCCGGCCGGCGGGGAAUGCCGCGUGCCCCAGCCCGGGAGCGGAGAGCGGGGAGCGCUGCGGGGAGCGCUGGCCGUGCCCUGCUGGGAUGCGGGGAGCGCUGGCCGUGCCCGGCCGGGAUGCGGGGAGCGCUGGCCGUGCCCGGCCGGGAUGCGGGGAGCGCUGGCCGUGCCGGGCCGGGAUGCGGGGAGCGCUGGCCGUGCCCUGCUGGGAUGCGGGGAGCGCUGGCCGUGCCCGGCCGGGAUGCGGGGAGCGCUGGCCGUGCCCGGCCGGGAUGCGGGCGCUCUCCGGGGCUCGGCGCUGCAGAGGGCUCCGUCCUGCGCUCCACGGAAGCGGGGGAAGGGACGGGUUUUCCCCGGAAACUUAUCUGUCUGGCAGAUACCAAGCCCGGCAUCCGUGUGUUCUGGGAAGUUCCGAUAGACGCGUCGCACCACUGAAUCAUGCCCUGGGCUCCGCAGCUGCUUGGCUCGGGGUGGGUUUGACCGGCAGUCCUGCGUGAGCCUACUGGAAAAGUUCAAAGGGUAUUUUCUCUGUUCUUCCCCCUUCCACUACUCCUGCCAAGGCAGCAAACCUCUGCUUCCUUUCUCAGAAACUAGCUAAAGCUUUGUGCCACUUAGCCAACAUGAAGGAAAAAAAAAAAGAAAAUAAAAAAUAAGUCAAAUAUAACGGUUAAUAUAUUUUAAAAAUGGCUUUUCUCUAGAGAAAUAUGUUGCAGAUUGGAUGACAGUCAUGUUUCUUUCCUUUUCCUGUUUCUCUCCCUCUUAGCCAUGCACAUAUAUUUUUUUCUGUGGUAGGGUUCCCAUCCCUGAUGUUUUGGGCAAAUUCCAUCAGACAUUGCUGUACUGGGGCUGGGCUAGGACAGCAGGCAGCAGGCCAGCAUUCUGGGAUAGAAGUAUUCCCCCUGUAUGGAGAAGGAGGACAGAGGGACAACAUGCCUCUCUACUUUUCUUGUCAGCAUAUGGUGGUUUAGAUAAUGAUAAGGCACGCUGAGGAGGAGUGUAUGCCUUUUAAUCUAAGCUCAUCAGCAUGGUGUGUGUGAAAUACUGGCUUUAGUGAGCUACGCUGGCUCUGGAUGGAGGGGAGAAGAUUUUUCAGCACUUCUGUUUUUCCUCAGUUCACCCAGCCUGGCUCCCUGCAGGAAAACUUAUUUAAAGGUGGAUUUAUGAACCAAGAUGCCACCCCUUUCUUGCAAAGCUCAGUAGCUGCUUGAUUGCUUUUUAGCGUGAGAGUUCAGAAAAACAUUCUUAAACCAUGAUGUCUCCAGAGGUUUGUGGUAAGAAAACAAUGUUAAUUUGCCCAGUCUAGAAGCAGAAAGAUUAAAAAAGAGUAAAGUACACUGUGUUCUUUGUUCCAAUUACCUGAAAUUAGUGUCUUUGUUGGAGAUAAGUGCCAUAAAUGGCUUUAACAUUUUCAGGUUUUUCUCUCAUUUUGGAGCAGUGCUGUAUUGCUGCACCACACAGCACAAUCCACCUAUUAACACUUUUUAAUGGGCAGUGACUCUACUGUAUUGCAUUAGCUGUGCCUCCAUUAUUUGAGUUCCAAAGGAGAGUGUGUCAUAAUAAGCUUCUAGAAAAGUUCAAGACAGCUGCCUGUGUCAUGGAAAAAUAAGACUUGAUUAACAGAGGAUGUAGGAAGCCAAAGUAAAUACUAGAAAUGUGUAAAGCAGUUAUGGUGGUGUAGAUUAGUACAUAUGAAGGGAUGUGUAAAUCGGAGUGCUUGACAUGAUUGAUUCGUAUGUCAAAAGGGAAGCCAUUGUGUUAUUUUUUUUUUAGUUGGAAAGCCCUGCUGGCAGCGUUGGAGCACUCAAUUAAAAAUCUCAAAUAUUGUGAAGAGUUGGGCCUGUGUUGCCAUUUUUCCUGAAUUUCAAAUGUGGAAGGACAAGUAACAAGAGAGGAAAUGCUAAAUUUUGAAGACUGUGCCCAACAGCAAAAAACACUGGUGUGUACAUGCAGCACCUCUUUGUUUAACCCCGUAUCUCAUGUUUAAAAAUUAUCCCACCAUGAGAGGUAAAUGUGAUGGUAGCUGGGUGACAGGACCAUCUAGAAGGCAGGAGGAGAGCUUUGUGAGCCUAUGAGUCUUGCAAAGCCUUUCAGAUGUUCUCACCUCUCUCACACAUUGCAGGCAAGUGGGCGAAAAGCUGCAAGUUACUUAAAUCAGUCACUGUGACACAUCCAGUUAGCUUGGUUAUGAAGAGAGCAUGAAUUAUGAUAUUCUACUCUGUCAUUUAAAGAUAAAUGUUUUAUGGCACAAAUCCCAUUAUUAUGUGUACAUUCUUAAAAGAAAGAUUGUGUUUUGUUUUGGGUCUUUUAGUUUGCUUGGUUGGGGUUAUUUGGUGGGGUAUUUUGUUGGUAGUGGGAUUUUUUUACAGCAAUUUUAAGACUGCUAGUCUUGCUAGGAGGUAGGUCCAAGUUGUGGUUAAAUCCUGCAGACGACAGUCUUGCUGAUCUCAGGAUUUUCCAAAUAUUAAAAUACAUGUCUGGAUUUCUCAAAACCCCACAAAACUUUAAGAACAUUAGACCUGUUUCACCUUUCCCUAGAUAACUAAGACUGCCAUAAACUGCUUGAGUGUCCUGGUCCUAGCAAGAUUUCUUGUAAUAGGAAGUCUCUUGAAUACCUCUUAGUGGCUUAUUAGCAACUUCAGGUAUUAUAUUUUAGCAAACAAAAUCAAAGUUUAUCCCCUAGAUUUUGCUUAACUACAAUAAAUUAUUUAUAAGGUGCAGCCCUAUGUCAUGUAGAUGCUUUUUCCAGUCAUGUUGUUUUAUAAAAAAUGUCAUGUGGGGGGGUUCUGUAUGGAGAUGUGUAUGAAGUAGGAGCAAAGAAAAAUAAAUCUCCCAGUAAACCCUGUCACUCUUGUGACUAUGAUCACUGUGCCAUCCCCAGCACUGCUUCCUACAGGAGCCUGAGGCCGAGGCUGGAGGUUGGUACACGCAGGCUGCAUGGCUCUGGAUGUGGGCUGGUCUAGAUGAGAAUUACUUUUAGCAGAAUCAAAUGGAAGUCCUUAUCUAGAGAUAAGCCUGAAGUGCUCAUGCACUAUUAAGUUCCUGGCAACGUCUUUACAAGGCAUAUAUUUACACUCAGGAUUUGUACAUACAUUUACACUUGGGGUUUGCAGAUAUAGUUACAGUGAGACAAAUAUCCUUAUUUAAACAAGAUGACAGGAAAAGUGCAGAAUAAGUGCAAGAAUCAUAAAAGAACAGAAUAAGUGUCCAUGUGCCUUCUUGAGUGAGGUUUGGAGGGUUUCAGUGUGUGCAUGUGUCUUUUUCUUUAUUUACUUAAAAUGUUUUAAGUUUCUCAAGUGGUAACUGCAAGCCUUGGGCAGCAGAAAUACACUUACUGAAGUGUGUUUGUCCUGCAUUAGGACAGCUGGCUGGCCCCAUGGCAAGCCAUUAUUUUAUUUUCAGGUGAAGCUUCUGGCUUUGGCCCACCCUGGCAUUUUGUUUAUCCUCUGUAGAAAUCUGUCUUUUUUGGCAGCAUAGGUCAUUAGUUUUCCUCUUGUGGUUUCAGCUUUUCUUCUUGCUUUUCACUUGGGAUUUUUCUUCUUCUAGUGGUUCUUCUCUUUUCAGCAAGCAGUUUCUGCAGAUCUGCAGGUGAAUUCUAGUAAUUCUGUAUAAACCCCUUCCUUUUAUUAAAUCAAUCCUGUAUUUUUCAGUCCUCAUUCUUAAGAUGAACAUCACAGAGUUGUGGUUUGUGAAGGGUUUUGGUUGAUUGCUUAUUGGGUUUGUUGGAGCAGGGAGGAGAAGAGAGAGAUGGAGGGAAUCACAUCUUCCAGGGAAGGUGCUGUUACUAAUUAUGCCUUGGAGAUUAUUACUUCAUGGUUCAGAUAUAAUUAGUACUUGAUCAAACUCCUAUGUGCUAUUUAGGACAAAAGAAAGCCUCUCUUUCUGUAUGACCCAAAAAGCCAGCUGUUACUUCAAACAUUUGUUUGUAGGGGUUCAGGGAACAGCAAUUCUGUAAUUCUUAUGAGUCCUAACAGCCCCUGAACCCCUUCCAACAGCUGCCAUGCCUGCAGCCCUCUUCUUGCCAAAACUUUACCACGUAUGGCAAUACAGAGAAGCAAAGGAGUUCUUUUAGGACACAUCUUAGUGCUGGAUUCUGGCUGUCUUUUGAGAACUCCUUAGAAAUGUAUGUUGUAGGACAGGAUUUUUAACCUUGUCCAUGUCUUGUCCAUGUCAAGUUGGCAAAAGCUGGAUGUAGAGGGUAAUGCAGCACAAAUCAUGAAGGUAAUGGGACUGUGACUUCAGAGGCAGAGAAGUUCUUGAAGAAUGAUAAGAGGACCCGUGUCUGACUUAAAUUAUUUUCUUUGUUCCUCUAAUGCUCAUAUUUCACCACUUCACAUCCAGUGCAGGGAGCAAUACCAGGUGCCUUCUGGUGACAAGAAGUGUGUGUUCUGUGAGCUGGUCAGAUGAUAAAAGUGUUGAGUCAAAAUCCACUGAAUUGGUAAGGCUCAUUCCCAAAUCUUCAGAGGGCUGCAGAUCCCCAACAGAAUCUGGGCUGGAGUUUAGGCAGCCUAUACCCAAUCUGCAUUCCUCUAUCCUCACAUGGCUGCUGACUGGAUGACUUGGUGUUACCAAGCUAGCUGCAGCUCCUGCCCUUGAGCAUGCCCAGAGGCAUGUCAGCCUCAGCAGAACUGAGCAGCUCCGUGCCAGGUCUGUCCCCCAGCAGCAGACACAGCUCUUCCACACUGCAUCUGCAAAAAGGCUGUUGUAGACUACUGCCUUUGUUUGAACUACUGCAGGGGUGCUGCUGCAGUUGCUGCAGCUCCUGUUCUCCUUACCCCACCACCCAGGGUAAGGAUGCUUCCCUGCACCCAGCCUGGUCCUCUCAUAUGGGCUCUUCUUUCAUCUGACAGAUUCAAAGAAGCUCUCACAUUCUCUGGGGCAUGUCUGACCUUCCAGGGUUGGAUAUAACUGUUUUGCAGUGCGUGCAAUCUGGAUUUGUAAAAAUGGAAGGAUUAAUCAAGAAUCUAUGAAGUGCAGUGAGCAAGGUAUGUGUGUGAAAGGUGGAAGAGCAGGAUUCCACUGCUUCUGCCAGAAAUCAUCCUGUGGCUUAUGCCUACUUUUCAUGAAAGAUAUAAACAGACUUUGGGGUGACAUUACUUCCUAAAGGCUCUGGAGAAGUCUGUGUGUCCCAGUGGCAUUGUAUACAGGAAAUGUACAGGAAGAAUGGCAUUUGCACUCCCUUCCCCAGUGUGAUGCUUCAGAAGGACAUUUCAAGGUCCACAGAGAAUUUGGCUUCCAAUUCAUUGUUAGGUAAAUUAUAGCCAUGUGGAGAAAGCUGUUUCAUGUGUUUCAGGGCUGCGUUUCACAGUGGGGAUCAAUGUGCUCUUUCCCAAGGGUUCAGGAGGCAUGGGCCAAACCCAUGGACACGGAACACCUUGUACCUCACUAAAAUGGUGAUAGUAAUUCUCAGUUUACAUAGCUCAUGGGAAGGCCUCACAUACCACUGGAAAGUUGCUGCUGGUACUUAUUUCUUCGCUCUCUGAUUUUGUACAGUCUGGUAGAAGAGAUGAAGCAUAACAAAUUCUUGGUUGUUAGAGGCCAGAAAUAUUUGGUUGCUUGUGCUUUACCACCAGUUUCAGUAACACAAGUCACUUUAUUUGGAGGAGAAUAAGGUUUGUGCCUAUUAGCUGCUGCCAUUUGUGCACAUGAGACUGAUGUCAGCCAUCGACUUCACAUCAACAGCUAUGACAUAUAUACACCUUCUUAAAAAGCACAGUUUGAAGUGGUCAUUUAAGCUCUAUUUAUAUUCUUUAUUUCAAAUAUUAAGGCCACCAUAAUGCUGUAUUUAUUACUUCAGAGAAUUACAGAUCACACCACAGAGUGUUUUAUAAAUUAUUUCUCUUCAAUGUAGCCUUAUAUUGUCAGGACAAUUGCUUCUACAGUCCUACUUCCAGUCCUUCCACCUUAGUCUAUGUCCAAGUUGUGCUGAAAUUGCUGAGAUUCUUCUUUAUUAAGAUUAUUAUCAGAUCCCACACUGCCUCUGCUGCAAGAACAAGACAUUAAAACAGACAAUUUAUUAAAAGAUCCUUAAUUCUGUCCCCUUUGCAUUGUCCUUAUCCAUUAGUCAUGGACCUAAUGACCAGACACACAGUAUGUAGGCAAUGUACGUGUAUUUAUGGUAUCCUUUUAAAGGCAUUUCUUCCUCCUGGGAGAAGAGAAUCGAGAGAAGCUGCUGUUCGCCAGGAUAUAAGUGGGAUCACAGCAAAAAAUCAAAAAACUCCCUCUUACCCUUGCUUGCUCAGUGCCCAACUCACACCAGGCAUCAGCCAAGCAGACCAGGCCUGCCUCUCUGCUCACAAGAGUUUAUUGCUGUACAUUUAUCAGCUCCCUACAGCAGCACUGAAUGCACACACACCCCAUUUAUUUCAAUAUGACGAGGCAGGAAACCCUUUCUUCCCAUGCGUGCAUAGGCAGCUGUCUUCUCCUUUGCCAUAAAUUGUGCUUUGGAUUCAAGACUUGCUGACAAAAGGGGCACUAUUCACAUGGGCUCUGACUUGUAAAUGAUUUCUGCACUUGAGUAGUGUUUACAUCCCAGACUGGGGAUGUUGGAGAAGGCUUCAGGCAGUCCAUGAGCCAGAUGCAGUUUCCUGGGGUGCAAUGCUGGGUGCAAUGCUGGAGUCAAGUAGCAGAGCCACAGCAGUCAGCAUGCAACACCUGAGGGGAGCUCUUGCCCAGAGGAGAAUGUGCUGGUAAACAGAAACCACAGCCAGACCCAGCUUACUGUCUAGUGCACUAGUUCUUUGCUUUUUGUGGAGAGAUUAUUGAUUUCAGACUGCAGUGUCAAGAGACAGCAAUGGUCUGUACAAGUGACCUCAUAAGUCAUAAACCAUGUGCAAUUACACAGGCAGUACUAAACUACUACAGUAGAUUAAACAGUGUUUGUUAGUUGUUGUUAUUACUUCUCCCAAGAGCUUAGUGCUAUUGCUGCCUGUAGGCUGUGAUUUACAGUAGUGUAAUCACCUGAAAAUACUGGGUUUGUUAAGCUUCUCAGGUAAUACAAAAAACCGUCAAGCAAUACUUACAGAUACCAAAUAGACUUAAAAUGUUUUUCUUGCCUGAAAAUGUAUUAUUUUAUUAUGUUCCACCCAUCCACUCGCCAAGCGACAAAGUGGUCUUUCAUUGGGGAACACUUACUAAAAAAAAAGAAUUAUGAAGGAAUUUCUUGACUUGUAAUAUUACUGGUAUGACCAUUAUAGUGUGACUGAAUGUUCAGUAACAAUACAGAUACCACUUGACUCUUGUUUAAAUGAGCACUAAGUCAGGGUUUUCCUCCUGAAACCUGACAUCAAGUCUGUGAAACUCUCCUUUCUUGAAGUGAUCCAGGAAGAAAAACUAUGUGCCAUUUGAGAAUGUAAGCCACAUGCAUUGUUAGAGAUUAUAAGAGACCUUAAAAUCCAUUGGUUAGUUUUCUCGUAAUAAAUUGUUAUUGCAUUAAUUUGUUAAAGAUUACCUAGCCCUUCAGGAAAACUAUUGUAAUCAUGAUUUUCAAGCUUUUUUUCUUAACAGGGUGGACUUGGAAAAACCUUUUUAAGCUUAUACUGGUUAAUUUUCAGCUUGAUAUUUCAUACUAGUAUAAAGCCCUCCCCUUUGCUUACUUUCAUUUUCCUCUGUCAAAGGAGAUUAAGGUAUAUCUCCUUGAGUAUGACUGCUACUCCUGUCCUCCAUGGAAGCCCAUAUAUAGCAAUUCCAUAGGGAUCUAGAACACUAUGAUGGGAGAAAGCCAAGAAAUACAGGACAGCGAAAUGGAGGGGCUCCAAAAUGAUCUGGCCCAAGGCCUCUCUCAAUUGAAUUUUGCAACUCUCUAGGAUGUGGGGCCAAGGUCAUUCCUACUCCAGAUGCAACAGAGGGAAGGGCCGGGGCAGGAAGUUUCCAUGGGCAGACACCUGCUGUUUGAAACAGCAGUGGAUAAUCAAGGGAAGAGCCGUGGAGCUCCAGC